AACGAACGCUGGCGGCAGGCUUAACACAUGCAAGUCGAGCGCCCCGCAAGGGGAGCGGCAGACGGGUGAGUAACGCGUGGGAAUCUACCCAUCUCUACGGGACAACUCCGGGAAACUGGAGCUAAUACCGUAUACGCCCUACGGGGGAAAGAUUUAUCGGAGAUGGAUGAGCCCGCGUUGGAUUAGCUAGUUGGUGGGGUAAUGGCCUACCAAGGCGACGAUCCAUAGCUGGUCUGAGAGGAUGAUCAGCCACACUGGGACUGAGACACGGCCCAGACUCCUACGGGAGGCAGCAGUGGGGAAUAUUGGACAAUGGGCGAAAGCCUGAUCCAGCCAUGCCGCGUGAGUGAUGAAGGCCCUAGGGUUGUAAAGCUCUUUCACCGGUGAAGAUAAUGACGGUAACCGGAGAAGAAGCCCCGGCUAACUUCGUGCCAGCCGCCGCAGUAAUAC
rnacentral:rRNA from 1 species